CGGCCGCCGAGGUCCGGGCGGACGUGGCGGCCCGGCUCCGGGCCGGGCUGGACCGCAUGCCCCGGUUCCGGCACCGGGUGGCCGC
rnacentral:tRNA from 1 species